rnacentral:rRNA from 1 species
UAGCGGCGGACGGGUGAGUAACGCGUAGGUAAUCUGCCCCAUACACAUGGAUAGCCUAGGGAAACUUGGAUUAAUACCUGAUAAUGCGACUAGUUCACAUGAACCGGUCGCCAAAGAUUUAUCGGUGUGGGAUGAACCUGCGUCUGAUUAGCUAGUUGGUGAGGUAACGGCCCACCAAGGCAACGAUCAGUAGCCGACCUGAGAGGGUAAUCGGCCACAUUGGAACUGAGACACGGUCCAAACUCCUACGGGAGGCAGCAGUAGGGAGUUUUCGGCAAUGGGGGAAACCCUGACCGAGCAACGCCGCGUGAGUGAUGAAGGUCUUCGGAUUGUAAAGCUCUGUUAUAGGGGAAGAAUGACGGAUCUAGGAAAUGAGGUUCGUUUGACGGUACUCUAUUAGAAAGCCACGGCUAACUACGUGCCAGCAGCCGCGGUAAUACGUAGGUGGCAAGCGUUAUCCGGAAUUAUUGGGCGUAAAGAGUGAGCAGGCGGCAGGAUAAGUUUGAAGGAAAAGCGUGGGGCUUAACCCCAUACAGCUUCGAAAACUGUCCAGCUAGAGUACGAGAGAGGUAAACGGAAUUCCAUGUGUAGCGGUGAAAUGCGUAGAUAUAUGGAGGAACACCAGUGGCGAAGGCGGUUUACUAGCUCGAUACUGACGCUCAGUCACGAAAGCGUAGGGAGCAAAUAGGGAUUAGAUAUCCUAGUAGUCUACGCCGUAAACGUUGAGAACUAAGUGUUGCUGUGAGGCAGCGCUGAAGCUAACGCAUUAAGUUCUCCGCCUGGGGAGUACGAUCGCAAGAUUGAAACUUAAAGGAAUUGACGGGACCCCGCACAAGCAGUGGAGCAUGUGGUUUAAUUCGACGCUACGCGAAGAACCUUACCAGGGCUUGACAUAGAGGCUAAAUACUUAGAGAUAAGGAAAUAUAUGUCUCAUACAGGUGGUGCAUGGUUGUCGUCAGCUCGUGUCGUGAGAUGUUGGGUUAAGUCCCGCAACGAGCGCAACCCUUGUCUUCAGUUACCAGCAUUCGGUUGGGGACUCUGGAGAGACUGCCGGUGACAAACCGGAGGAAGGUGGGGAUGACGUCAAAUCAGCACGGCCCUUACGUCCGGGGCUACACACGUGUUACAAUGGCGUGUACAGAGAGUUGGUGCUGGGCAAUCAGCAUCUAAUCAAUAAAACACGUCUCAGUUCGGAUUGGGGUCUGCAACCCGACCCCAUGAAGCUGGAUUCGCUAGUAAUCGCGCAUCAGCCAUGGCGCGGUGAAUAUGUUCCCGGGCCUUGUACUCACCGCCCGUCAA